GCAUCGAUGAAGAACGCAGCGAAAUGCGAUAAGUAAUGUGAAUUGCAGAAUUCAGUGAAUCAUCGAAUCUUUGAACGCACAUUGCGCCCGCCAGUAUUCUGGCGGGCAUGCCUGUUCGAGCGUCAUUUCAACCCUCAAGCACAGCUUGGUGUUGGGACUCGCGUUAAUUCGCGUUCCUCAAAUUGAUUGGCGGUCACGUCGAGCUUCCAUAGCGUAGUAGUAAAACCCUCGUUACUGGUAAUCGUCGCGGCCACGCCGUUAAACCCCAACUUCUGAAUGUUGACCUCGGAUCAGGUAGGAAUACCCGCUGAACUUAAGCAUAUCAAUAAGCGGAGGA
rnacentral:rRNA from 1 species